UACGAAGGGGGCUAGCGUUGCUCGGAAUCACUGGGCGUAAAGGGUGCGUAGGCGGAUCUUUAAGUCGGGGGUGAAAUCCCAGGGCUCAACCCUGGAACUGCCUUCGAUACUGGGGAUCUUGAGACCAGGAGAGGUGAGUGGAACUGCGAGUGUAGAGGUGAAAUUCGUAGAUAUUCGCAAGAACACCAGUGGCGAAGGCGGCUCACUGGCCCGGUUCUGACGCUGAGGCACGAAAGCGUGGGGAGCAAACAGG
rnacentral:rRNA from 1 species